AACGAACGCUGGCGGCAUGCCUAACACAUGCAAGUCGAACGGGAUCCUAGCUUGCUAGGUGAGAGUGGCGGACGGGUGAGUAACACGUGGGAAUCUGCCUUUUGGUUCGGGAUAACCGCGGGAAACUGCGGCUAAUACCGAAUGCCCUCGAGAGAGGAAAGAUUUAUCGCCAGAAGAGGAGCCCGCGUCCGAUUAGGUAGUUGGUGGGGUAAAGGCCUACCAAGCCGACGAUCGGUAGCUGGUCUGAGAGGAUGAUCAGCCACACUGGGGCUGAGAUACGGCCCAGACUCCUACGGGAGGCAGCAGUGGGAAUAUUGGACAAUGGGGGCAACCCUGAUCCAGCAAUGCCGCGUGAGUGAUGAAGGCCUUAGGGUUGUAAAGCUCUUUUGCCAGGGAGAUGAUGACUGUACCUGGAGAAUAAGCACCGGCUAACUUCGUGCCAGCAGCCGCGGUAAU
rnacentral:rRNA from 1 species